rnacentral:rRNA from 1 species
AAGACCUUGCGCUUUUGGAGCGGCCGAMGCCUGAUUAGCUUGUUGGUAAGGUAAAAGCUUACCAAGGCUUCGAUCAGUAGCUGGUCUGAGAGGACGGCCAGCCACACUGGGACUGAGACACGGCCCAGACUCCUACGGGAGGCAGCAGUGGGGAAUUUUGGACAAUGGGGGCAACCCUGAUCCAGCCAUGCCGCGUGAGUGAAGAAGGCCUUCGGGUUGUAAAGCUCUUUCAGCCGGAACGAAACGGUUACGGUUAAUACCCGUGAUUACUGACGGUACCGGAAGAAGAAGCACCGGCUAACUACGUGCCAGCAGCCGCGGUAAUACGUAGGGUGCGAGCGUUAAUCGGAAUUACUGGGCGUAAAGCGUGCGCAGGUGGUUUUGUAAGUCAGAUGUGAAAGCCCCGGGCUCAACCUGGGAACU